rnacentral:sRNA from 1 species
CUGCCUCCAUGUUAGUGCAGGAACAGCUGGCAGCCGGCCAUGUAGAGCCCUCAACCUCACCAUGGAAUACUCCUAUUUUUGUUAUCAAGAAAAAAUCAGGCAAAUGGCACCUUUUACAAGAUUUUCACGCCACUAAUAAAGUUAUGCGCCCGAUGGGAGCACUACAGCCAGGCAUUCCCACACCAGUGGCUAUUCCCAAAAACUAUUGUAAAAUGGUUAUCGACUUAAAAGAUUGCUUUUUUACCAUUCCUUUACAUCCUGAGGAUAGACCCUAUUUUGCCUUUAG